AUUGAACGCUGGCGGCAUGCCUUACACAUGCAAGUCGAACGGCAGCACGGGAGCAAUCCUGGUGGCGAGUGGCGAACGGGUGAGUAAUACAUCGGAACGUGCCCAGUAGUGGGGGAUAACCCGGCGAAAGCCGGACUAAUACCGCAUACGACCUACGGGUGAAAGCAGGGGAUCGCAAGACCUUGCGCUAUCGGAGCGGCCGAUGUCAGAUUAGCUAGUUGGUGGGGAAAANCCCACCAAGGCGACGAUCUGUAGCUGGUCUGAGAGGACGACCAGCCACACUGGGACUGAGACACGGCCCAGACUCCUACGGGAGGCAGCAGUGGGGUAAUUUUGGACAAUGGGCGCAAGCCUGAUCCAGCCAUGCCGCGUGCGGGAAGAA
rnacentral:rRNA from 1 species